rfam:Citrobacter koseri ATCC BAA-895, complete genome.
AACGGUUUGACGUACAGACCAUUAAAGCAGUUUAGUAAGGCAGUCCCCUUCAAGAGUUAUCCGUUGAUACCCCUCGUAGUGCGCAUUUCCUUAACGCUUAAAAAAUCUGUAAAGCACGCCAUAUCGCCGAAAGGCACACUUAUUUUUUAAAAGGUAAUACACUAUGUCCGGUAAAAUGACUGGUAUCGUAAAAUGGUUCAACGCUGAUAAAGGCUUCGGCUUCAUCACUCCUGACGAUGGCUCCAAAGACGUGUUCGUACACUUCUCUGCUAUCCAGAACGACGGUUACAAAUCCCUGGAUGAAGGUCAGAAAGUUUCCUUCACCAUCGAAAGCGGCGCUAAAGGCCCGGCAGCUGGUAACGUAACCAGCCUGUAAUCUUAGCUUUAUAAGCUCAGAAUUGAAGAUCCCUGCCAAUCGGCGGGGAUUUUUUU